CACAGCUACGGACAAACGGACAGCGAGGGGGGUGGGAGUAAGGAGCCGCUCUAAUGUAACAGCCCACCGAGAGCUGCUUAUCCGUCAAGAGAGCACGGGGGAAAGUGUAGGAGUGGCUGGGUGCUGCUGCAGAUGCUGCCGUGUUGAUGAGACAACGAGGAAGGAUUCCAAGCGAGGUCCAUCCAGCAGUUUGGAAAAGAAACUUCCUGUGGAAGAAUCCAAUGAAUUUAUUAAUGAGCUCUUUCCCUCCUCUAUUCUCUUACCUGCACCCAAGUUCUGCACUGCUGCUCAGGCACAAAAAGUGAUUCACUGGACAAAUGGACACUAGAUGCUGUGGAAUUCCUGCCCUGGACUUUCCUCCCACGGAGGGCACUGUCUUGCCUUUCUUUUCUGCACCAGCCACUGAUGUCCACACUACAUUGUAGGAAUUUAAUAUUUGUGCCCAUCAAAUUUAAUAUCUGCCAGUGGGUUCAAAGGUCUUGAGGUGAGGAAAGGUUGAAUACUGUGUCAGCAGACACCAUGCAAAGACAAAUCUGAAUUUAAGGGAAAAAAAGAAAAGCCUAUCCAGUAGGGAAAAAAUUGGUGUAUACACACACAGUAAAGAUAGUCACAGCAUACACAGUUUCUGUCUUUGGUUUUGUGCAUUGCUGUCCCUUUGCUAAUGAAUGUAAUGCUUCUAAAAGUGUUAGAUUAAAAUUCAGAGGAAGAGAAUACUCUGCUUCCCUGCCAAACCAGACAGACCACUGCACUGGUUGUCUUGCUGGCUGUGAAUAUUUUGCCCUUGGUUACCAUUAACAUUGCCGCAGCUGUGUAUGAUUUGCUGAUUCACUUGGUGACUGUUUCUCAGUUCCUCUGCUGGGAUUUUUCCCUAACUGGUAACAUAAGUGCUUUUAGUCUUUGAAGAAGUAAGGAAAAGUCACACUGUUCCUCAUACUGACUUAAAGUCCUCCCAGAUUUACCCUGGGAUAUGUACAAACUGUUGUGCUGUAAAGAACCUCAAGAGGAAGAUAUGAAUGUCAUAGUUGUCUUAAUGCAGUGUCUCUCCUACUAGCAAAGGAUUGACUAAAAAAAAAGUAGUUUUCAUGUUAUCCAAAAUAUAUUAAAGGUCUCGUGAACAGGAAAGCUUUUCUCUUGACUUCAUUGUAUUCUGGAGCAAGUCCUAGCAGCAUAAAUCUCACCUUCAAUUUAUGUUUCCAAUCUGACUGAUGUAAAUGAUGCCUUUUUUUUUUUUUUUUUCUUUUGGCUCAGAGUUAAAAGCUGCAAAAGGACAGAAUAUUUUGUAUCAGCCAGAAAUUCUUGAUUUCAAAGUACAGUUCCAUCUUAUUAAAGAAACCAUUAAGUUUUUCUAAACAUGAAAAUUUAAGCUCCUAGAAACCAUAUUUGCUUUAUUUCCCCUCUAACUUAAUGAACAAAUGAUGGAGUCAGCUGACACCACCUUGUCCUUUUCAAGUAAAGUCGACUAUGCUUAGCUGUGUGCAGUCCUAGCAGGUAGUUGUAAUUAAUUUUGUUUAUUUUAAUUUUAAAAGAUAACUACUUUGCUUUAAUUUUUCAGUUUAUUUGGUGCUUUCUUUUAGACGUUAAAGUUGCUUAUUUGUUUUUUAAGCCAUUAAGCAUUUGUAACUAUUUUUGGCAAGCAUUCUCACCAUUAUAUAUGGUAAAGUUGUAUGGGGAACACAAAUCAAAAUCUUUAUAAAGUAACAUAUGCAUUGAACCAAAAUCCCACAGAAGCCCAUAGGCAUGGAUAA